AAGUCGUAACAAGGUUUCCGUAGGUGAACCUGCGGAAGGAUCAUUACACAUUUUGGCCGUAACAAGCCUUAACCCUUCUCUACGCGUACCUUUACAUUCUCCUUCGGCGGGGUAACGCCCGCCGUUGGAACCUUGCCAACCCUUUUUGCAUCUAGCAUCUUACCGUUCCGAUAAAAACACAAUUGUUACAACUUUCAACAAUGGAUCUCUUGGCUCUG
rnacentral:misc_RNA from 1 species